AUAAUAAUAAUAAUAAUUAAUAUAGAAUUAAAUAAUAAUUAAAUAACUUUUAAAUACAAAUAAAUUAAAAUAAGCAUCAUGGUGACAUCCACUAUCUGCAGUUUUAGGCUUAAAGCAGGGAUACUUUUCAUGCUGUCAUCUAUUCCUGCUUUUAAAUAAUUGCUUUUAAAAAAAUCUGGGAUAAUUCAGAAGGAAGGUGUGUUCGGUGUCCUGCUAUUGCUUUUCUAACAGCUGCGAACGCCUCCGUGCAUCCCUUCAAAGAUGAGCUGUUUGUAUGGGGAAACUGAACAAGCUGCCCUUUGUUUUCUGCCGAGCUCUACAUGAGGCAAACAACAAACACCAACCACAUCCACACAGCAAAGCUACAAACACAUCCACAUGUCAGUGCAUCCAUCGCCAAAAUCCUCGUACCAGGUGGACAAAGGCUGUAGGCUGCCAGGGUGGGGCAGAGCUGGUGAGUUUUUCACUGCCAGAGUCCCCAAAUCAAUCCCUCGGUGCCUGCCAGGGGUUCCUUUGUGGCUGGGGACAGAGGGGAUUUGGAGUGUUACCAGAAUUAUAAAUUCCUCAUUUAUUUAAGGAGUUGGCUGGACUCCUGCCUGGUGGCUCUUGUCAUAAACUCACUGGCCUCGUGAUGGAGGGAGACGGCCACAGUCCUGCAAGCUGCCAUAAGGCUCUUGCAGCUGUGCCUGAGUUUGAAAAAUAAUGCUAAUAUUUCUGUAAAAUAAAAAAAAAAACAAUUAAACAAUUUAAAAAUAAUGAUAAUAUGUUAACGAAGGUAGCAGAAUUCUGCUAAUGUUUACAUCCUCUACGUAUAUAUAUAUAUAUAUAUUUACACUCUGAGGUCUGGUACAUCCAUUUUUGCCAAAACACUUUUUUUUUUUUCCCUAGCAGAUUUUAAUGUCACAUUGUUAUAAAUUCAGUUUUGCAGCAAGCUAAAGUGAAGGGACAGUUAAACAGUUCCACAUUUAACUCAUUUAUUUGACAAAACUACUUUAACUGGAAUUAAAGUAGGUGUUUUCCUGAAGAGUUUACAGAUUGAUAUGGCAGGAACUCACUGGAAGGUUUUGGGAGAACAGCAGCUUGAUUGGAAACCGUUUAUAAAGCUGAAGGUCGGACUCUGCCAACAAGUGCUAAACAUUUGAAGUGUACCUGACAGGGGAACGAGCUGCUUCGCUGAUGUUACCACAAGGAAGUCCAAAAUAGCUGUUAGGAGACAAGAGGUUCGGAGCGCAGCUUUCAAACAGGGCACCGGGCAGAUCUUUCAGUUUCCAACCUGAAGAACAGGUUCUGCGGAUGCAAGAGGAACGAAACGUCUGCUCGGCAUUGUUACCACCCUCCGAUUCCCUUUGCCUCCUCCCACUUUGAACUUGUUACCCUGGAGCUGAACUGUUUGAACAGGGGCUGUAAAGCUGCUUUGUGAUCAGAGAGCUCCGAGCCCUCAACAUGUGAAAGCGGGGCGGGAUUUCGCUCCAGACGCCGCAGGUCCCUCCCUCCCUCCUCCCGGUUUUGUCCCGGGUAUGAAGGUUGGACGCUCCGCGCACAGAAGCCGGGACAGCCCGUCUGCACUGCCCGGCCGGGAGAGACAAAGGUGUGUGCGGCAUUGGUUUUCUGCUUUCUGUUGUUGCGAUCACUGUGGUGUGCUUUUAACACUUUUGCUCACACUUGGGUGUUAGAAACAAAGUUUAUAAUAUCCUACCCCACAGCCUUAUAGCUGUAACAGAAUCUGCUGCUACUGUUGCUCUUGUCUUUUUGAAGGAAGAGGGAAAAUGGAAAGAGUAUCAUGUCUAAUGCUUGUUUUAUUUUAUCAUGCUUUCUCUUGUUCAUGAAAAUGUUCAGGAACCUUGGAAUUCUGUUAGUCCUAAAUUUUUAGAUUCUCAGAGCUUGUAGGGAUGAAGCAAACUACAUUUGUGAUUCAAGUUUAGACUUUUCUAACUGGACAACUGCUUUUUUUUUUUAAUGAAAGACUACUGCAUUCAUUCUGAACUGAUAACCUGAGCCUUGAGCUUUCCCAGGUGUACGGAGCCAAAAUGAAAACUGACUUGGGUAAGAGAGGUUGGAUGUAAAAUAAACUUCAGGUAUUUAAAUAAAAUACCAGUUUAGCAAUAGAACAUGGCUGAUUCUAUGACUGAACAGCCAAGUCUUAACUUGGGAAGAAAGACAUGCACAACACUUUGAAAAGGUAUGCAUGUUUGGUUGUUUUUUUUU